CUCUAAUCCACCAGCAGAGAACCCUGGCUCCUAGGAGAGACUGCCACUCAUCCCCCUCCACCCCCGCGCAACUUCAAGGACAAAGUCUGGAGAGGGAUCAUGGGGCGUCCCAGCUUCCACGCGCCUCAAGCCUAGGGAGCAAACGUGGCCAGAGGGCCCAAAGAGUCUGAAACCUGAAAAGGGAUCCCCCUGUCCCCAGCCCGUCCACCUCCCCAACAGAGCCUGAGGGGGGCGCUGGCAGCAGGAAGCCCGGAAUGGCCCCGGAGGCGCACAGGCCCCACAGUGGAGCGAUCCUGCCGGCAUAUAUCAGCUCACCAGGACUUGACUGGAACACGUCCUUCCCCCCACAACGUGGUGUCCAGCCCCUGCCCCACCCCACCGCUCACUCCUCUCUGGAGGCAGCAGGCUCUGCAGUAUUCCUGCUCCUACCUCAUUAUCCCAGCCCUGAUCCUGUAUCUCUCCAGUCUCUCCUCCCCCUGGCUCUGUGCUCCUUAAGCCUGGAAGGCACCGGAGGGUGAGGUCAAAGCUAAUACACAGUGGACACUGCUGGGGGUGGGAGUGCUCCCCACUCAGGCCUCUCUUCCUCACCCCCUACCUCUUUUCUCCUCCUCCCUGGGAUGGGAGGGAGCAAGGGGGCGGGGAACCCAGCCCCCACAGCUCCCUCCUGGGUGAACAAGAGGAAAGGAAUGAGGCAGGUGUGUCGGGCUGCUCCUGCUUACCCCUCCUCCCCGGGGGGACUCUAACCCGCCUGCCUGUGGGGCUGUCUUUUGGGGGUUGGGGAGAGAAACUCUGUCCUCCCCAGAAGCAGCGGAGCUGAGCAUGUGGAAGGCCUGGCUGUCGUAGGCAUGUCCAGGAGCUGCCGGGAUGCAGGCAGUUGGAGGAGAGGAAGCUGAAGGCAAGCUAGUUGGGGCAAAACUCCCAACAGGGAUACACCACCAGGAGAGCGGCCUUUCCUUCUCACCCCUACCCUGAGUUCCCCAGCACAGUGAGCCAUGUGGGAAUCAGACCAUGACACUCACCUGUUCAAGACCCUCUGAAAGUUUCUCAUUCCUCUGAAAAUCCCAACUCCUUACGAUGGCCCAGAGGGACAUGUGAUGUGACUCUUGCCUGCCCUCCGAGCUCCUCUCCUGCUAACCUGCCCUUGAUUGCUUCAUCCGAUCACACUGGCCUCUUGGCUGUUCCUCCUGAGGAGAUCUCUCUCACCACCGACCUUUGGCAUUCACAUGGCCUCGGCCUGGAAAGCCCUUUCCCUCAAUCUGUGCGGGGCUGUCUUCGGCACACAGGUCUCAGCAUGAGUAACAUAACUCAGAGAGGCCUUCCCAGACCAAUGACUUUAUCUAAAGAGGCCACACUCCUACCUAUGUGUCUUAUUCAUCAAUACCUCGUACCUUAUUCAUCAAUAAAUGAAUCGAUGAAAAAGA